rnacentral:lncRNA from 1 species
AAAUCUUAAUGUUUUUUGGGCAUCUCUCCUUCGAGCGAGAGGUCAACGUAGGAGGGACGUAUGAGCAGAAUAAUUAAAUCCAUUAAUUGAUAAUUUAUGGGUUUAUACACUAUAAGUCUAUAAGGAAAGAUUGGCUUAGGGGCUUUAGCGAGCGUGACUCGUAACAAUAGGGGCAUUAGAGCAUCCGCAAUGGGGUUCCUUGAUAGCCUACUUGAUAGUGGUUGUGUUAUUGAGUAGGUAAUGCUGCAUUAGGGUUACUUGAUAGCCUACUUGAUAACAUUAAUUUUGAUUUUAUGUUUUUCAUUUAAAUUUUAUUGCAUAAUUUAAAUAACAUAUUUUUGUAAUAGUUAAAUACGCCAUUAAACAUAAAAUUUAAAAACACCUAAAACAUAAAAAAAAUUACAUAAAAAUUUAAAAACACCUAAAACAUAAAAAAAAAUUACAUAAAAAUUUAAAAACACCUAAAACCUAAAAAAAAAUUACAUAAAAAUUAAAAACACCUAAAACAUCAUAUUACCCCAUCGUGACGAUGAAGCGC